rnacentral:lncRNA from 1 species
CCCGCCCCCGGCUCGCCGGGCUCCACCCCCGGCGGCUGGGUAGCCGGAUGUCGCGGCGCGAUUCAGCGCCUUGGCGCACAACCCAACUCACAGGAGGACAGUGGACAGGUCCAUUCCCCUGCCUAAGGUUGUAUCUAAGGAUUUUUAAAUCAAAGUUCUACAACCACAUACACUGGCCCAAACUCUCAGCAUCUGAAUCCUGCUUCCUGCUUGUUGGAAUAAAGGACCUGUUUCCAACUACAGAAGCUGAAGGGGCCACAUCCUCCUUCUCCCUGUCCCUGACAGCUGAGGCUCCUCAAGAGUGGCUGCACCAACUUAAAUCCCCGUGAUGGUGAUUACUUCUUAGAUGUGCCCAUGGGCUUCUCGGGUGAUACUGGUGAGGACCUCAGCACUAAGCAGUCUGACUGAAUGUCUACAGCCUCGCCAGGCAACAAUUUCAACAGAAAAACUGAAGACUGCAGGUGCUUCAUAGGGCUGCCAAACUUCUGUGUGCCUGUGCCUGUCUCUGCUUCUGGCUGCAGCAUCUUGAAGCCUCGGCCCACCUGUGCUCUGAAGCUGAGGAGCCAUCCAAAGCCUGGAGCGGCUAUCUUGGGUACUCAUCUUUCUGGUUGGGGUGACACUCUGCCCUUGGAAGCACUUGAGUUCAGGUUCACCACGCAAGCACAGCAGAGUGAGAACACGACGGCACAACACUGGGAGAACACUCAGAGCUUUUGCAUUUGCUGUUCCUCUGCCUGGAAAACCCUUCUACCAAGUCUUCUCAUUGCUGGCCCCAUCUUACUAUUCAGACUUCGGCUGCAAUAUUGCUCCCCUUAG